CAUAGCGACUAUCGUGGCAUAUCAAUAAGCGGAGGAAAAGAAACUAACUAGGAUUCCCUCAGUAACGGCGAGUGAAGCGGGAAGAGCUCAAAUUUGAAAUCUUCAAGGUUCUACCUUGACGAAUUGUAGUUUAAAGAAGUGUUUUCUGUUGGAGUUUUGGUAAAAGUUCUUUGGAAUAGGACAUCAUAGAGGGUGAGAAUCCCGUAUUUGACCAUUAUUUCCAACUUUGUGAUACACUUUCAAAGAAUCGGAUUGUUUGGGAAUGCAGUCCAAAAUGGGUGGUAAAUUUCAUCUAAAGCUAAAUACUGGCGAGAGACCGAUAGCGAACAAGUACCGUGAGGGAAAGAUGAAAAGAACUUUGAAAAGAGAGUUAAACAGUACGUGAAAUUGUCAAAAGGGAAGCGUUUGACACCAGUGUUGUUUUCUCGAAAAUCAAUUAAAAAUGGUGGGAUGUUGUGUUGUAUUGACUUUAUCAGCUUUCUGCACUUUUUUUCUUAUCUUUUUUAAUGCACUUUUCGUUUAACAAGUCAGCAUCAAUUUCUUUUGUUGUAAAAGAGUCAUUGGAAGGUGGCUUUUUCUUCGGAAAAAGUGUUUAUAGCCUUUGGCUUCUGCAAUCGGAGAGAUUGAGGUCUGCAGCGUAGAUCCUUCGGGGUUAGAUACAUUUGUGCUAAGCUAUAGCCUUUCAUAGACAACUUGUUGACUAUGAUCAGUCAUGUAGCUUACUCGCUUAUGCUAUUUUACCUACGCUUAGGAUGUUGAAGAUAUGCGCGACACG
rnacentral:rRNA from 1 species